GUGUGUGUGUGUGUGUGUGUGUGUGUGUGUUGGGGGGGUGUCCGUGUUUGUGAUCUGAACCUUUGGUACCUACAAGGAGGGUGUCUCACCGAACGGUAGCUAAAACCUCACCAGGACCGCACGGAACUGUGGAAACACAGCCGAAGGCACCGCCGGAGCUUCAUAUGUGGGCCGGACCCCAGACCCAGCGUUGCAAGGAGCCCCCCGCCCGGAUCACAGAUAAUGGCCAUGCUUCCAUUGGACAAAAUCAGCAUCUCUCACUAGAUUUCACCUCCUAACUGGCUGGUUCACUGAACACUGGGCCAAGUGAUAUUCUUUCAGUGAUCAACAUCUGAAAACAGGACUCCAUUUCUAAGAAGACUUGGUUUCAUAAUGGAGAGCUACAUAAUACGACCAGAUUUGGAGCAAAGAGCCGUGUUCCGCAUUCGCCACUCUACUUCUCAUUUCCUGGACUAAAUACAACAGCGGGAAAUUCUGCAGUCCCUUUUCAAAGAGGGGUUGGCGUGAUACAAUGCAAGUCCUGACUUGGCUAUAAAUGCAGAUUAAUAAAGAAUGACGUUGGGAUACGGUAUUCAGAUAUGUUAUAUCUGAAACUCCAGUUUCUUCGACUGUGGGUGGCAGCCUUAUUUGGGUUUCAUAACUCAAAGCAGGAGUCACAAAAAUGUUCUCAGAAGUAAAUGUUUCUAAAUGCGCAAUGACAAGAAAAUUAAUUCAAAAUAAAACAUAAAAACCUUAGCUUUCUGGCAGUGCUCACCCACACUGCAUUUUGUAAAUUUAUUGCAUCCUUAACUCUGAGCAAACAAUGUGCACUUUACACCGUGCCGGCUGUGACACCGCCUGUAACUAUGACCACUGAACGCCACAGCUCGGCUCGCUGGCUCACUGCACUGUUCCAAUGUAAGUACAACGUUUUCUGCUGUACCCGAAAUAUGGUGGUUUAAUUAUGGAAAACAAAGAGCAUUAAUGUUUUUCUGUCAUCAUUCCUUAGCCCGUAUCAAAUUAAUAUAGCUCACGUUAUUUUUUUGUGUUGGCAUGUUUGAUCUGAGACAGUGCUCUUUGAGUUGCCAACUUGAGUUUCACAAGAAACUGGAAGAGAAUUUCAUUCUUGGAUUAGGACAGCCUUUCCAAUAAUUUCUGCGGUACGCAUGAAUAUACUUCUGCCAUUUCAUGUUUAAUUAGAGUGGUGUUCUCUACAUAGAUAAUUGCUGAGCUACUCUGGAAAACCAAUGUGCAUACUACAUACAGCCACUAACCUUAUGCAGAAAUAAAUAAGUGAGCCAUCUUAUGAAUGUAUACACUUGCUUUCAUUUUAAAUAAAUCAUCAAAUUACA